UGGGGAAUCUUGCGCAAUGGGCGAAAGCCUGACGCAGCAACGCCGCGUGCGGGAAGAAGGCCCUAGGGUUGUAAACCGCUUUCAGCAGGGAAGAAAAUGACGGUACCUGCAGAAGAAGGUGCGGCCAACUACGUGUCAGCAGCCGCGGUGACACGUAGGCACCAAGCGUUGUCCGGAUUUAUUGGGCGUAAAGAGCUCGUAGGCGGUUCAGUAAGUCGGGUGUGAAAACUCUGGGCUCAACCCAGAGACGCCACCCGAUACUGCUGUGACUUGAGUACGGUAGGGGAGUGGGGAAUUCCUGGUGUAGCGGUGAAAUGCGCAGAUAUCAGGAGGAACACCAGUGGCGAAGGCGCCACUCUGGGCCGUAACUGACGCUGAGGAGCGAAAGCGUGGGGAGCAAACAGGAUUAGAUACCCAUGUAGUCCCUGAGCGGGCUGGCAAGGCGCAU
rnacentral:rRNA from 1 species